GUGGGGAAUUUUGGACAAUGGGCGCAAGCCUGAUCCAGCAAUGCCGCGUGCAGGAAGAAGGCCUUCGGGUUGUAAACUGCUUUUGUACGGAACGAAACGGUUCUCUCUAAUACAGGGAGCUAAUGACGGUACCGUAAGAAUAAGCACCGGCUAACUACGUGCCAGCAGCCGCGGUAAUACGUAGGGUGCAAGCGUUAAUCGGAAUUACUGGGCGUAAAGCGUGCGCAGGCGGUUUUGUAAGACAGAGGUGAAAUCCCCGGGCUCAACCUGGGAGCUGCCUUUGUGACUGCAAGGCUGGAGUGCGGCAGAGGGGGAUGGAAGUCCGCGUGUAGCAGUGAAAUGCGUAGAUAUGCGGAGGAACACCGAUGGCGAAGGCAAUCCCCUGGGCCUGCACUGACGCUCAUGCACGAAAGCGUGGGGAGCAAACAGGAUUAGAUACCCUAGUAGUCC
rnacentral:rRNA from 1 species